rnacentral:lncRNA from 1 species
UCUCGGCUCUCAAGGCAACAGUCUCGUGCAACCGCUCGACUCGACGAGCAACGACGAACAAGAGAGUACGAACGAAGCUCCUCUUCCUCCAUCGCAAGCUCUACCGCCGCUAAGUCACCUCUCUAAACUUGAUCCUUCGCCGCUACUCCCGGUGCACCUCAUCGAUCUCCUUUACAGCUACUGCUUCGUGAUGCGGCUUUACAAUGGCGAGUGGAAGGACAGUCCGCUGGACGCGGCCAUGGAUUUGCUAGCGACGUCCAGAGUUCUAUCGCAGUCGGCUCAACCCGAGACGGUCACCGAGGUGAUAUGGUACUGCUCCGAGGCCGUGUGCUCGCCGGCUUUCAGGCACGCGGGUGGCAGCCAGCUCAGUCUGUUGCUCUGCGAUGAUACAGCGGCGCUUCUCCGGAUUGGAAGGCCCGCGGUGGUACGUGCCUUGGCAGAUCUCCAACGAAUGCUGGAAGCCUCCAUCGACGAGUCCAAGAAGCUCAAGAUGGUCGACACCAAGAAGGAGAGCAAGCUUCUCCAGGCGGCUUCCAGGAAAGCUUUCUUCCUUAUGUGCUGGGCGAACCAACUUGGCGAUGGCGUCGCUUGUUUUGCAGCUCUGGUGGACACCGAGAAGGAGAGACGUGCCGAAUCCACUGAGUCGACGGUGACGACGGCGAGGACAACGAUGAGGACGACGAGGACGACGACCAAAGCAGUUUUGUCUGCCGCUGGCGAUUGAAUGCUACUCGAAGCUCGGUCACUGUGUCAAGCUCUUCUUUUGUUGAUCUGCCGUUGUCCGUGUGCGUAGCCGAAGUUUCAUCAGGUGCAUCGCAAGUAAGCAACCAAAAGCUCGCUCCCUCGCUCGCGAUUCAUCCAUCCUUGCGGAAAGUGGGAGAAUCAAUCUUUUCGUUUCAAACAAGAUCUAAGCUUUUUUCCACUACGUUUUAUUUUGUCGCUGGGCUGCACUGGAUCCAAUUACCAAAUGAAAUAUCAUAUCUUCCUUUCUUGCGAGACGAAAAUGUUUCUUUUUUCUCUUCUGCCUUCUCCGUAGUGGGAUCCCCGUCCAUUAAACUGCGAAAACGACGAGGUUUGAAUUGAAUCCAAAAUAGUACAUAACAUCAUAGGCAUACAUCUAAACCUCACAUCAAUCAUCCCCUCAUCUCGAAAGGAUGGUGUUGACUUGCAAACCAGUUUUUUUUUUCUUUGUCUAUGCAUCUCAUAACUUCCAUCCAUAUCGAUCCGAUCGAGCUCUUAAAUGGAGGAUCUUGCUAGCAGCGCCACUACCAGCGCCGCCGCCGCGCCGCCAGGGCGGAGGGAAGGGAAGGAACAGUGGGCAAAACCGGCUUAAAACGCAGCUCAUCACUUGAUGCCCACUCUCUGCUUUUCCAUAAUUCGGACUGAUCCCCUUCAACGCGGUCUUCUCGCUCAAAUUCUUUCACCUCGAGGUGCGCCAGAUGAGAGCAGGCGGAGAUGGACGGCAGCUAGGGAUCUAGAGCAUCUAGGAGGCAAGAUCAUGAGGUAUUGGAGAUUCUUGGCAACUUCAUGUGGCCGGAUCGCUUCUUCCAGUGCCCGGAGCUGAGGAGCAGCAUAAUAGCGUUGAGAUUGGAGCUGGAAUCGCUCCAUCCUAUGUCGCAAUCCAUGCCGCGGUGUUCCCAAGCUUACAGUUGCAAUCUAAGUGUGUUGGGACGUGCGCCCCAAUCAACGUCCCGAGGAUGUGAUUUGCAGCUUGCUGCCGCGCAUGCGAUCAAACACUCCUCCUUCCUCGGAUGAGAGACAGAGCGCGAGAUAAGAAUGCAGAUAGGUGUGCAUUGAUCAGGAACUGAGGCACAGCUUCGCCACCAAUAUAAUGGAUGCAAAUAUCAUUAUAUGGCAUUCUCAACAUAUUUGGGGAUUAGGGUUCUCGGGUAAGGAAAUGGCGCGUCAUCGGUUUUGCUUAGAUUCUCGUUUUCUUCUCGCAGCUGCCAGAAGCAUUACGCGAAUUACACGUGCCCGCUGCAAUCUUCGCUAUUGCUCGCUCCAGUGUUACAAGGUGAGGGAAUUCGUGGUGUUUCUGGUGUGACAGGGCCACAGUGUGCAAUGCACAGAAGCCUUCUCUCGCGACAACGUUCUCGCGGAGAUGAAGAAUGUGGAGGUGUCCAAGGAGACGAAGAAAAAAUUUCUGCAAGCAUUGCAAAGGCAAAGCGAGGAACGAAAGGAAUCCAUUAACGAUGGUCUGGCAGCUAAGUUUUCCCUGGAUGGAUAGAGUUUCUAACUUGGCAUGGUGGCACAGAAGAGGAGGAGACUUUCAUCUCGGACGAGACCUUGCACAAAUUAAUUGCUGGUAAGUUCUUCGCGUGUUCUUCGGUUCAUUCACUCACUCGUUCUUUUCAUUUUUCUUCUUCCUAGGAGCCGAGGUCAUAGUGGCUGAUUUAUCCUUGGACGAACUAAAAGCGUUUCAACGAGCUGUGGCAAGCGGAGAGCUGUGCCACCUUAUCGAGCCAUGGGAGCCCUGGUGGCUAAAACCGGGUGCCAAAUCCUUGACUCUCGGCUCUCAAGGUAACAGUCUCGUGCAACCGCUCGACUCGACGAGCAAAGACGAACAAGCGAAGCUCCUCUUCCUCCAUCGCAAGCUCUACCGCCGCUACGUCACCUCUCUAAACUUGAUCCUUCGCCGCUACUCCCGGUGCACCUCAUCGAUCUCCUUUACAGCUACUGCUUCGUGAUGCGGCUUUACAAUGGCGAGUGGAAGGACAGUCCGCUGGACGCGGCCAUGGAUUUGCUAGC